rnacentral:rRNA from 1 species
UACAGAGGGGGCAAGCGUUGUUCGGAAUUACUGGGCGUAAAGGGCGCGUAGGCGGCCCGCUAAGUCGAACGUGAAAUCCCCGGGCUCAACCCGGGAACUGCGUCCGAUACUGGUGGGCUCGAAUCCGGGAGAGGGAUGCGGAAUUCCAGGUGUAGCGGUGAAAUGCGUAGAUAUCUGGAGGAACAUCGGUGGCGAAGGCGGCAUCCUGGACCGGUAUUGACGCUGAGGCGCGAAAGCCAGGGGAGCAAACGGG